rnacentral:rRNA from 1 species
UACCAGCUCUCCGAGUGGUGUGGAUGUUUAUUGGGCCUAAAGCAUCCGUAGCUGGCUGGACAAGUCCCCUGUUAAAUCCACCGAUUUAAUCGUUGGUGUGCGGGGGAUACUGUUCGGCUAGGGGACGGGAGAGGCAGACGGUAUUUUCGGGGUAGGGGUGAAAUCCUAUAAUCCCGGGAAGACCACCAGUGGCGAAGGCUGUCUGCUAGAACGCGCCCGACGGUGAGGGAUGAAAGCUGGGGGAGCGAACCGGAUUAGAUACCCGGGUAGUCCCAGCUGUAAACGAUGCAGGCUAGGUGUUUGGACGGCCACGUGCCGUUCUAGUGCCGCAGGGAAGCCGUUAAGCCUGCCGCCUGGGGAGUACGGCCGCAAGGCUGAAACUUAAAGGAAUUGGCGGGGAGCACCACAAGGGUGAAGCUUGCGGUU